rnacentral:rRNA from 1 species
CGAACGGGUGAGUAACGCGUGAGGAACCUGCCUCAAAGAGGGGGACAACAGUUGGAAACGACUGCUAAUACCGCAUAAGCCCACGGCUCGGCAUCGAGCCGAGGGAAAAGGAGCAAUCCGCUUUGAGAUGGCCUCGCGUCCGAUUAGCUAGUUGGUGAGGUAACGGCCCACCAAGGCGACGAUCGGUAGCCGGACUGAGAGGUUGAACGGCCACACUGGGACUGAGACACGGCCCAG